AUUGAACGCUGGCGGCAGGCCUAACACAUGCAAGUCGAACGGUAACAGGAAGAAGCUUGCUUCUUUGCUGACGAGUGGCGGCCGGGUGAGUAAUGUCUGGGAAACUGCCUGAUGGAGGGGGAUAACUACUGGAAACGGUAGCUAAUACCGCAUAACGUUGCAAGACCAAAAAGGGGGACCUUCGGGCCUCUUGCCAUCGGAUUUGCCCAGAAUGGAUUAGCUAGUAGGUAGGGUAACGGCUCACCUAGUCGACGAUCCAUAGCUGGUCUGAGAGGAUGACCAGCGAGACUGGAACUGAGACACGGUCCAGACUCCUACGGGAGGCAGCAGUGGGGAAUGUUGCACAAUGGGCGGAAGCCUGAUGGAGCGAUGCCGCGUGUAUGAAGAAGGCCUUCGGGUUGUAAAAUACUUUCAGCGGGGAGGAAGGGAGUAAAGUGAAUACCUAUGCUCAUUGACGUUACCCGCAGAAGAAGCACCGGCUAACUACGUG
rnacentral:rRNA from 1 species